rnacentral:rRNA from 1 species
UACAGAGGUCCCGAGCGUUGUUCGGAUUCAUUGGGCGUAAAGGGUGCGUAGGUGGCGCCGUAAGUGGGGUGUGAAAUCCCGGGGCUUAACUCCGAAACUGCAUUCGAUACUGCGGUGCUUGAGGACUGGAGAGGAGACUGGAAUUCAUGGUGUAGCAGUGAAAUGCGUAGAGAUCAUGAGGAAGACCAGUGGCGAAGGCGGGUCUCUGGACAGUUCCUGACACUGAGACACGAAGGCCAGGGGAGCAAACGGG